AUUGAACGCUGGCGGCAGGCCUAACACAUGCAAGUCGAACGAGUGGCGGACGGGUGAGUAAUGUCUGGGAAACUGCCUGAUGGAGGGGGAUAACUACUGGAAACGGUAGCUAAUACCGCAUACCAUCGGAUGUGCCCAUAUGGGAUUAGCUAGUAGGUGGGGUAAAGGCUCACCUAGGCGACGAUCCCUAGCUGGUCUGAGAGGAUGACCAGCCACACUGGAACUGAGACACGGUCCAGACUCCUACGGGAGGCGGCAGUGGGGAAUAGUGCACACUGGGCGCAAGCUUGGUGGCGCCAUGCCGGGUGUAUGGAGAGGGCGUUCGGGUUGUACACUACUUGCAUCGGGGAGGCGUUACCCGCCGAAGAAGCCCCGGGUAACUCCGUGCGAGCCGCCGCGGUAAUUC
rnacentral:rRNA from 1 species